GACUAACGCUGGCGGCGUGCCUAACACAUGCAAGUCGAACGGCCCCUUCGGGGUUAGUGGCAGACGGGUGAGUAACACGUAGGUAAUGUGCCCUCUUGCCGGGGAUAUCUGUUGGAAACGGCAGUUAAUACCGGAUGGUCCAACUUUGAGGCAUCUCUUAGUUGGUAAACUGAUUUAGGGUGAGAGGAGCAGCUUGCGGACCAUCAGCUAGUUGGUGAGGUAAUGGCCCACCAAGGCAACGACGGUUAGCCGGUCUGAGAGGAUGAUCGGCCACACUGGAACUGAGACACGGUCCAGACUCCUACGGGAGGCAGCAGUGAGGAAUAUUGCGCAAUGGGCGAAAGCCUGACGCAGCGACGCCGCGUGAGGGACGACGGCCUUCGGGUUGUAAACCUCUGUCAGUAGGGAAGAGAACGGACGGUACCUACUGAGGAAGCAUCGGCUUACUACGUGCCAGCAGCCGCGGUAAUACGUAGGAUGCGAGCGUUGUCCGGAUUUACUGGGCGUAAAGAGCUCGUAGGCGGGAACAUACGUCUGGGAGGAAAUGUCACGGCUUAACCGUGUCGCUUUCCCGGAUACGGUGUUUCUUGAGGGCAGAAGAGGAGAAUAGAAUUCCCAGUGUAGCGGUGAAAUGCGUAGAUAUUGGGAAGAAUACCAGUGGCGAAGGCGAUUCUCUGGUCUGUCUCUGACGCUGAGGAGCGAAAGUGUGGGUAGCGAACGGGAUUAGAUACCCCGGUAGUCCACACCGUAAACGAUGGAUACUAGGUGUAUGAGGUAUCGACCCCUUAUGUGCCGGAGCUAACGCAUUAAGUAUCCCGCCUGGGGAGUACGAUCGCAAGAUUGAAACUCAAAGGAAUUGACGGGGGCCCGCACAAGUGGUGGAGCAUGUGGUUUAAUUCGACGCUACGCGAAGAACCUUACCUGGGUUUGACAUCCUUCGGAAGUCGGCAGAGAUGCCGGUGCCUUCGGGCCGGAGGACAGGUGCUGCAUGGCUGUCGUCAGCUCGUGCCGUGAGGUGUUGGGUUAAGUCCCGCAACGAGCGCAACCCCUAUUUUUAGUUGCCAUCGGUUCGGCCGGGCACUCUAGAGAGACAGCCGUCGUAAGGCGGAGGAAGGCGGGGAUGACGUCAAGUCAGCAUGGCCCUUACGUCCAGGGCUACACACGUGCUACAAUGGCCGGUACAAAGGGUAGCGAAGCCGCGAGGUAGUGCCAAUCCCAUAAAGCCGGUCUCAGUCCGGAUUGUAGGCUGCAAUUCGCCUGCAUGAAGUCGGAAUCACUAGUAACCGCAGAUCAGCUACGCUGCGGUGAAUACGUUCUCGGGCCUUGUACACACCGCCCGUCACGUCAUGAAAGCGAGCCCUACCCGAAGACGCUGAGCUAACCGCAAGGAGGCAGGCGGCGACGGUAGAGCCCGUGAUUGGGACG
rnacentral:rRNA from 1 species